UAAUAUAUAAUAUAAUAUUUUUGUUAGUUGACUUACUUUACUUUUGUCAGCUCAUUAUUUUAAGUUACUAUCUCCAUCUACAGAAGAUGUGCACCAUUGUACAAUAUGUGAGGAAAGACAAUCUAAAAAUGUUCAUAACUGACUUUAGCAUGGCGGGAGGUGAGGCGGCUGCUGUUAUCUCUGCUGUCCCUUUUUUACAUCCCUCUGUGUUGAAUCUGUUGCUGUUAUUCAGCUAAAGUGACGGGAAGCAUCUCUCCAGGAAAAUGGCGAUUGAGAAAUACCCCCAUCUGUCAGCGUUGGAGGUUUUUCCUGACAAGGCAUAGGCUUUGAAUGCAGCAUGGAGCAUCGCUGAGAGGGCUCCAGAAUAUAGGCUUGGGCUAUGGGACAAGGAGAGAGUAAGAGAGAACGAGGGAGGAGAUGCUGUCAGUUGAUGAAGAAGAGGAGAAAGCAAGGGAUGAGGAGGAGAGGAGGGAGCUGGGGACUCGUUCUGAUCCCUGCCUCUUAAUAAAUCUGUCAGAGCGAGACAGAAAGAGAGCAUGAGAGAGAGAGAGAGAGAGAGAGAGAGAGAGACAGACAGAUAGGGAGAGAGAGCAGGAGAUGGAUCCGUCCGCAGAGGUCUUCACCAGGUGGUUUGAAGUGCAGAUCCAUUUUUCCUCCUCCUCCUUCGCUCCAUCCUCCUCCUUGAUGUAGCACUCUACGGAUUCUCCCUGCAUUCAUUUACCUGUUGUUUUGAACUUUGUGUGUGUGAAUGUUUGGAUGGAGGAGUGUGUGUUUUGAUGUGUCUCACCUAGUGGGCAUACAUGCACUCAAAAAAUAUCUCAGAAUUAAAAAAAAAAAAAAAGUUUUGAAGGCAUCUGCACUUACGUUAUCAUACAACUAUCACAUUUGAGUAUUUAUGGAACUGACUGGGUGAAUAAAAAUGCAUUUUCUAUAAUUCCAAA